rnacentral:lncRNA from 1 species
GCUGCCGGUCCUAUGAGGAGAGCGAGGGGGCUCGGGCGCGAGGCCUCGGCUGCCGUUGCCGCGGCAUGGAGGAGCUCCGGCAAUUCUCGACGUGCUGGCCGUACGGCGACGGGGAAGACCAUGGCAUCGAGCUUCGGCGGCGGAGGGAUGUUGCGGUUCAUGCAUCACAUGGCCAGAUCCAACUGUUGUUGGCAGAGCUACUGCACCUGCGGUGUUGCUGAACCUGCUGGUUCCCAGGCACAGCGAGGAGAUCCUAAGGAAGACAAAAAAAUAAGAAAAGAGAUCACGGAAGAGAGGGAAUCAAGAGGAGGAGGU